UGGUGGAGCGAUUUGUCUGGUUAAUUCCGAUAACGAACGAGACUCUGGCCUAUUAAAUAGACGAGGUAUUUCAUACGUAUCUCGCGCUUCUUAGAGGGACAAGCGGCGUCUAGUCGCAUGAAAAGAGCAAUAACA
rnacentral:rRNA from 1 species